CAACACACAAGUUGAACCAAAGUACAUGGGACUUCACUAAAAAGUAUGUACCCAGCUGCAUUGCUGAUGUGGGUGAGUGAACUACAACCAGCCUAAGCCAGCUCCUGGAUUUUGUCUUAUCCCUUUACUCCUGGCUACACGUUUUGGACCUGAAUUUCUGCUGAUGAGGUUGGACUUUACCACGUUACAGAAGCCUGGUACAAAGCUGGCACCACGGAUGUUCCUCUUUGGCUUACACAACACAUCUCCUGUGCUGCACAGAGAUGGGGAGUCUACAUUUCAAGUAUUAGAUAUACUGUGCUUCUGCUCAGUACCAUCAAACCACAGUAAAUAAACGCCACUAAGUGCCACCGUGAGUGAAGGAGCUUAUAAUGAGAAGUGUGAGUAGACAUGUGUGCCAUUCAUCAUUCUGUUCAGUCCAAUAUUGGGGCUCUUUUUAUCAGCAGUAUU